CUUAACAAAUUUUUUAAAUUAAUAUUUAGAAUAUCUUCAACUAAGAUUUUGCCAGAUGAAUCAACAUAUGGACUGUCAUCAUUCUGAAAAAGUUUUUCCAAAUCAGAGAAUCACAAAUGAGUGGGUCCCCUUGUAAGUAGCUUCCAGCUCACAACUAAUUUUAUCUGCUUUCUCCCUUAUAUGUAAUUUACAAGGCAUAUAAAAGUGAGAAUGAACUAUUAAUUAAAUGUGACAACCAGUAGUCAAUGCCUUUUUGUUUCCGUUUUGUUUUUAGGAAAAUAAAUCAGCUAAAAAAUUAUUUUGUUGAAUAUUCUCAAUGUAGAUAUAUACAGGAAGUUGUUAUUUAUAAUGAUGAUACAUUUAAAAUUUUCAAUUAUGAUUUGAAUUGUUACAACUUUGAACACAGUCUUUCCAUAAUCUCAAUAUUAUCAAUGGAAGGGAAUUCCCAACCAUUGGAA
rnacentral:lncRNA from 1 species